rnacentral:lncRNA from 1 species
CUCUUGCUUUCUUUUUGUCUGGGCGAAUGUAGAAACUGUGGUGUAUUCACGGGCCAUCCUUAACCUCUCAAGGUUCCAUAGCAAGUUCCCCAAGAACCUCUCUACGUUCUGUUUCCAGGCUGCAGAAGAGAAAAUGUGGAUCCACUGUUCAACCAGCACUCUUCUGUGAAUGGGAGAGCAACAUGUCCUCCCCUCUAACCUGUGGCCAUGAGCUCCAUGAAUGGGAGAGCAAGGUGGCUUCCCCUGUAUCACGUGACCAUGAGCUCCAUGAAUGGUUUGUGUUCCUCCUACACUAACCUUGGGGGAAAUAACAAGAGGUCCUCUGAUGAAUGUUGUAGAUCGCCAUGGUUACGGUUCAGAGGUGCAGCAGAAAGCAAUUAUGGUGGAACAGAAGAAAGAAAUGCACCUCUUUGUCAGAAUUUCAUAACAGCUGUAAUAACACUAGCGCACCC